UUGAAUUUCGGGAUGUUGCUGGUCAAUUUUGGCAGUGUGCACUCCCUCUAAAUAUUCAAAUCCACCUGUGCACAUGAAGUAGGCAUGGAUUGAAUUCUGUGCUUAUGUAUAUACACACACACUGUGAAAGAUGGUUUAUAUAUAUAUACAUUA
rnacentral:misc_RNA from 1 species